rnacentral:rRNA from 1 species
UGGAAGUAAAAGUCGUAACAAGGUCUCCGUUGGUGAACCAGCGGAGGGAUCAUUACUGAGUUUUCUAAACUCCCAAACCCAUGUGAACAUACCUUUUGUUGCCUCGGCAGUGGUGCCGUCGCCCCUCGCGGCGGCGGCAGCCUGCCGGCGGACCCAAUAAACUCUUGUUGUUACAGUGUCAUUCUGAAUUAAAAAACUUAAUUAGUUAAAACUUUCAACAACGGAUCUCUUGGUUCUGGCAUCGAUGAAGAACGCAGCGAAAUGCGAUAAGUAAUGUGAAUUGCAGAAUUCAGUGAAUCAUCGAAUCUUUGAACGCACAUUGCGCCCAUUAGUAUUCUAGUGGGCAUGCCUGUUCGAGCGUCAUUUCAACCCUUAAGCCCCAGUUGCUUAGUGUCGGGAGACUGCCGUAAAACGCAGCUCCUCAGAGUUAGCUGGCAGAGUUGGUUCCAAUCUCUGGGCGUAGUAAAUCUUUAUCUCGUCUCUUGCAGUUGGGCCGGCGCUCGCCAUUAAACACCCCAAAUUUUUCUAUGGUUGACCUCGGAUCAGGUAGGAAUACCCGCUGAACUUAAGCAUAUCAAUAAGCGGAG